AAUAUAUGGGGAGAUUAUGUUUAGCUCACCUAUGACUGUGUGCACGAACUGCAAAAAUUUAAAAGCUGGUUGCGUGCCCUCGCAAAUUUGAAAAUCGAGUGUUGGUACCUUCAGUGGUUUCUAUGGAACCUUAAUUCAAACGAAAGCAAUGAAAAGCGUAAAUUGGUUUCUCCACUAACGAGUAGUUUUGGUAUUUCAGUGGGUGCGAGAGAUAACUCGUGGGCAUGAGAAAUAUGAGAAAUGCUGAUACAUGUUUAUUUACUUUUGAAAUCGCUGUAGCUCUUUUGUCUGGGAUCUACAAAGGCAUUUCAUGGCAUUAUUUGGACGCCAUUGCUUCAGAAUAUACGUGUGAGUUGUGCUAAUGUGAUUGUUAUAAUGUCUUCCGGAUUUUUUUGUAUUGCUUGUGCAAAAACAUAUGCUUGCCAUUUCUCCCUGCGAUCAGGUAAAAAAUACCAUCCAGAUAGCUUGGACGAGAUUGCACCAAAUAAAAUUAAAUAACUUACAAUUUAAAUCCAUUGAUGAUGAUGAUCAUGGUACAAUGAAAACCAGCUCAUAUUCUCGGACAAUAUAUAAUUGUCAUAGAACAGAUUAUUAUAAAACUAAAGGCUAUGGAGAAAGACACUUGAAAACCACAGGCUCCAAAAAAAUUAAUGCCUUUUGUCCUGCAGAAAUUAUUUUGCUAGAUCAAAUGGAAUGUACACUGUAAAAUAUACAAGUACCCACAUUGGCCACAAAAAUGAAUUGAAGCACAUUCAUCUUUCUGAUAAUAAUGACGAGACAGAUUCUCUCUACAAUCCCAAAUUAGAGAGAAUCCAUUUACUAACGAACAAGACUUGCAGAAUAUUGAAAGUAGUUAUAAUUUAAGACCUACCGCAAUUCGUCACCCAAAUGACGCUCAAAGUGUGGAAUUGUGGAUUGAUGAAUUAAAAAACAAUGGCUGUGUUCCAUACUACAAACCUCAAAAUGUGUACCAGCAUAGUGCCUCAAAAUGUGCUUUACCCAUAGGACAACACAAAAUGCUCUUAACAUAUGGAUCAGACUGCAUAUGUAUGGAUUCAACGCAUGGACUGAAUGGCUAUGGGUUUCAAUUACACACAUUGUUGGUAUUGAAUAGUGCAAGGGCAGGAUUCCCUUGUGCAUUUUUAAUUUCGAAUCAGUCUGAUGAAGAGGUUUGCACUCUAUUUUUAUGUGCAUUAAGAAUAGAUGUGCACAGCCAAAAGUGUUCAUGUCAGACAUGGCUGAUUCAUAUUACAAUGCAUGGGUCAAAGUAAUGGAUCCACCUGAAUUUAGAUUAUAUUGUUCACCAAAGUGAAACAGAUCUUUGUAUAUAAAAAAUUGAGAUUACUACUGGAAGAAACCAAUGUUGAAACCUUUCAAAUAAUGAUUAGACAAUUUAUAGAAUGUCUAAUGCAAGAUGACAACACAAAGCACUUUGGAAACCUAUUAUUUUAAGAAAGCUAUGACUUGGGCAUAUUGCUAUAGAAUGUUUAAAUACAAAUAUGCACCUUGAACAUAACAUAACUCUUAAACAUUUGUAAUUAGAUGGCAACAAUACCAAAAGGCUAGAUAUUUGUAUUCAUUCGAUAAUGAAAUAUAUCAAAGACAAAUUUUAUGACAUGCUCAUAAUGUUUAACAAAGGAAAAAUAACUUCCAAAAUCAAAAUUUUGAGAUCCAGGCACAUGGAUCAGGCAAAUUUAAUGUAUGUUCCAAAUCAAAUAUAUACCUCAUUCAGGACAAUAACAGCUCUUGCAGUUGCUCAAUUAUUUGCACUAAAUGUGAGGCAUGCAUACACAAAUAUUCUUGCACUUGCAUUGAUUAUGUAAUUCAAUGAAAUAUGUGCAAGCAUAUCCAUUUAGUGCAGAGAUAUAAGCAAACAAAUCCAGAACUAAUUUCUAAACCUGAGGAAAAAAUAGAUUCAGAUGUUGACAUGGAAGUUUUUAGUAACAUAAUAACAUCAAUAAUUGACUGUCAGCAAGAAGGUAGAGGAUAAGACAACAGAAGCCUGUAUUAAUGAACUGAGAUAUUCGUUUGAGGAAGCUCUCAAAAAAAUUUCUAGCAAUGAAAAAUACGAUGCCACGUCAAAACAUAUUUUUUCAUUACAUAAAAUUUUAGAUAGUAUUGAGAGGCCAAAUAACAGAAUUAUUUUGAAACAUAUAACAAAAAUUUUACUCCACAGGGACGGUUAUUUUCCACAAAAAAGGUAAAUUUAAUAAAAGAUCAGAAGAGAAGGAAAAUA